AGUGACAAGAAGGAGCAUCCGCUUCUCACCUAGUUGACUAACGUUGACGGGUACGACGAUUAACCGACUGAGUGUAAUAUACCUAUGGUUAGAGUUAAUGCGGAUGAUUUAUUCAUCCGCAUUUUUUGUUGCUU
rfam:Firmicutes bacterium MLFW-2 MLFW-2_Contig_7_85X, whole genome shotgun sequence.